AAUGAGAGUGAUGGAAAAAAUACUUUCCAGUUUACAGCCUGGGUUAUGACUACACACCCAGAGAGUUCCAAAUACAGUAAGAUGAGCUUUUUCAGAAAUACAGAAGUCCUGAUCGGGUCCUCUAACACUGAAAGCCAAGAUUUACAUGGUGAUUUGAGCAGGAAGAACUGUUUGAUCUCAGUGGUCACUGCUCCCUCUGCGUGGAUCACAUGGACCAUACAUAAGGAGGGGCACAGUGGCUUGUAAAAACUGGAUCUGAGAACUAAAUGAUCAAUGCAUUAAGAAUCAGAGAAUUAGCUUUUUGCUAAUUCUUUAAGUAAUGAAAUCAACCUAUUUCUUCAACACAAAUAAUUAGCAAUUUCCUAAAUGUGAAGACAGUCCCUGAAAUGAUGAAGGGCACUAGGAGUGCAAUACAAUCCAUCUCACUGAGGAACAGAAUGCUUUGCUUCUGGAGCUCCAAUUUUAAAAGAAAGUUUAUCAACCACUAAAGGUAAUUCAAACUGUUGGCAUGACAUUACAAUAGUUAUGGUAUUCAUACCUGCUACAACAUAUAGUUAUACCAAUGCAUAAAGACACACUGGUGUCCCAUGGAAUUUGAGACAUUAAGUUUCAAAUAUUUGAAACAGUUUUGAUGCCACUCACCAUUGUGUUACUUGCUCCCAAAUAAAAUAAAAAACAUCAAAGAGAAGCUACAAACAACAGGACAUCGCUUGCUGGGUAUCGCCUCAUAAGCAGCACAGCAGGAUGCACCAGACAGGAGAGAUAACCUCAAUGUCAUUAAAAGCCGUAACCUGAGCAAGUGCACAAACAGGUCCUCUUGCCUCCAGCACCUCCCGCUCCCUUCCUCAAAACCCCAGCAACCACUGACAAACUAGACUGUGUUUCACUGCAGGAAAGAAUGUGGGAUGGUGAGGCAACAGCUUCUCGGCCAAGCCAAUUCAGCAUUCACCUCUCAGUGAGAAGAUAUUCGGAGGUCAGGUUUAUUUUCCACUGACCAUAUAUAACAAGUGUCCAGAUGUCAAGAUUACAGUGGUGUCUUGGGUGACUUUAUGAUGUAUAUCCUAUAUCGCUGCCGUAUGCCCAGAAAUUAAACUAAACUAAACUCAGCUAAACUCAUACAAAAAAAUGUAUACAAACUGGCUGCACUGGGUUUUAAAAAGAACUUGAAGGGAAAUGCUUGGAAUGAGCAAUUCCGUUAAUGUUCACUGCUCCCUUGAUUUCUAGCCCUCAA